AGAACGAACGCUGGCGGCAUGCCUAACACAUGCAAGUCGAACGAUCACUUCGGUGAUAGUGGCGCACGGGUGCGUAACGCGUGGGAAUCUGCCCUGGGGUACGGAAUAACAGUGAGAAAUUACUGCUAAUACCGUAUGAUGACGUAAGUCCAAAGAUUUAUCGCCCUGGGAUGAGCCCGCGUAGGAUUAGCUAGUUGGUGAGGUAAAGGCUCACCAAGGCGACGAUCCUUAGCUGGUCUGAGAGGAUGAUCAGCCACACUGGGACUGAGACACGGCCCAGACUCCUACGGGAGGCAGCAGUGGGGAAUAUUGGACAAUGGGCGAAAGCCUGAUCCAGCAAUGCCGCGUGAGUGAUGAAGGCCUUAGGGUUGUAAAGCUCUUUUACCUGGGAAGAUAAUGACUGUACCAGGAGAAUAAGCUCCGGCUAACUCCGUGCCAGCAGCCGC
rnacentral:rRNA from 1 species